AAGACCUUGCGCUUUUGGAGCGGCCGAUGCCUGAUUAGCUAGUUGGUGGGGUAAUGGCCUACCAAAGCUUCGAUCAGUAGCUGGUCUGAGAGGACGGCCAGCCACACUGGGACUGAGACACGGCCCAGACUCCUACGGGAGGCAGCAGUGGGGAAUUUUGGACAAUGGGCGCAAGCCUGAUCCAGCCAUGCCGCGUGAGCGAAGAAGGCCUUCGGGUUGUAAAGCUCUUUCAGCCGGGAAGAAAAGGUUGCGAUUAAUAAUCGCAAUUUAUGACGGUACCGGAAGAAGAAGCACCGGCUAACUACGUGCCAGCAGCCGCGGUAAUACGUAGGGUGCGAGCGUUAAUCGGAAUUACUGGGCGUAAAGGGUGCGCAGGCGGUUUUGUAAGUCAGAUGUGAAAUCCCCGGGCUUAACCUGGGAACU
rnacentral:rRNA from 1 species